rnacentral:rRNA from 1 species
CAGCAGCCGCGGUAAUACGGAGGAUCCAAGCGUUAUCCGGAAUCAUUGGGUUUAAAGGGUCCGUAGGCGGUCUUGUAAGUCAGUGGUGAAAGCCCAUCGCUCAACGGUGGAACGGCCAUUGAUACUGCAGGACUUGAAUUAUUGGGAAGUAACUAGAAUAUGUAGUGUAGCGGUGAAAUGCUUAGAGAUUACAUGGAAUACCAAUUGCGAAGGCAGGUUACUACCAAUUGAUUGACGCUGAUGGACGAAAGCGUGGGUAGCGAACAGGAUUAGAUACCCCGGUAGUCCCUGUCUCUUAUAA